rnacentral:rRNA from 1 species
GAUGAACGCUAGCGGCAGGCCUAAUACAUGCAAGUCGAACGGUGUCUUCGGACAUAGUGGCGCACGGGUGCGUAACACGUAUGCAACCUACCUUACAUUGGGGGAUAGCCUUUCGAAAGGGAGAUUAAUACCGCAUAAGACAGUAGCUGGGCAUCCAGCAGCUGUUAAAGAUUUAUCGAUGUAAGCUGGGCAUGCGUCCAAUUAGCUAGUUGGUGAGGUAACGGCUCACCAAUGCAAUGAUUGGUAGGGGAACUGAGAGGUCAAUCGCCCACACUGGCACUGAGGUACGUGCCAGACUCCUGCGGGAGGCAGCAGUAGGGAAUAUUUGGCAAUGGACGCAAGUCUGACCCAGCCAUGCCGCGUGCAGGAUGUAGGCGUUAUGCGUUGUAAACUGCUUUUAUACAGGAAGAAACGACUCUUGCGAGAGGCAUUGACGGUACUGUAUGAAUAAGCACCGGCUAACUCCGUUCCAGCCGCCGCAGUAAAAC